rnacentral:lncRNA from 1 species
UGGGGAUCUGCCCCCAAGGCUAGGAGGGCAGGACAGAGUAGCGAUGUGGAGAAUUCGAUGUCCGAGCGACCUCCUCGGAGGAGUGGAUCGAGUUAAAUAUAACUGCGCGAAUGGAAUGGCGCUAAAAAUAAGAAUGAUCCCGCGUGAUGAAGUGUCGGCUCCGAAGGGGGUGAAAAUGGUGAAUUCCUAAAAACCCAGCCCUCGGCUUCUCCAGCAGCUACCGUUAGCCUGGAGGGACCCAGCGGACGCCGGGCCCGCGGUGUCGCAUCGAACUGCGUCGGCAAGACUCUAGCUUGCAAUGCCAAGUCAUUUUUAAGCCCUGAUCCUGCCCAGAAUCUUUCUCCUCGCGAAUGAAAAGAACAAUUUUCGAGAGAAAGGCUCGUUUUGAUUAAAUCUGACAUGCUGCUGAUAACUCCAUGCUAAUGUGAAAUAAUUAACAUAAUAGCCAUAAUUAAAAGCACGCUAACAAUGCCAUAAAUUUAUCACACAAUUUUAC